rnacentral:rRNA from 1 species
GAUGAACGCUGGCGGCGUGCCUAAUACAUGCAAGUCGAGCGAACAGACAAGGAGCUUGCUCCUUUGACGUUAGCGGCGGACGGGUGAGUAACACGUGGGUAACUUACCUAUAAGACUGGGAUAACUUCGGGAAACCGGAGCUAAUACCGGAUAAUAUUUCGAACCGCAUGGUUCGAUAGUGAAAGAUGGUUUUGCUAUCACUUAUAGAUGGACCCGCGCCGUAUUAGCUAGUUGGUAAGGUAACGGCUUACCAAGGCGACGAUACGUAGCCGACCUGAGAGGGUGAUCGGCCACACUGGAACUGAGACACGGUCCAGACUCCUACGGGAGGCAGCAGUAGGGAAUCUUCCGCAAUGGGCGAAAGCCUGACGGAGCAACGCCGCGUGAGUGAUGAAGGUCUUCGGAUCGUAAAACUCUGUUAUUAGGGAAGAACAUACGUGUAAGUAACUAUGCACGUCUUGACGGUACCUAAUCAGAAAGCCACGGCUAACUACGUGCCAGCAGCCGCGGUAAUACGUAGGUGGCAAGCGUUAUCCGGAAUUAUUGGGCGUAAAGCGCGCGUAGGCGGUUUUUUAAGUCUGAUGUGAAAGCCCACGGCUCAACCGUGGAGGGUCAUUGGAAACUGGAAAACUUGAGUGCAGAAGAGGAAAGUGGAAUUCCAUGUGUAGCGGUGAAAUGCGCAGAGAUAUGGAGGAACACCAGUGGCGAAGGCGACUUUCUGGUCUGUAACUGACGCUGAUGUGCGAAAGCGUGGGGAUCAAACAGGAUUAGAUACCCUGGUAGUCCACGCCGUAAACGAUGAGUGCUAAGUGUUAGGGGGUUUCCGCCCCUUAGUGCUGCAGCUAACGCAUUAAGCACUCCGCCUGGGGAGUACGACCGCAAGGUUGAAACUUAAAGGAAUUGACGGGGACCCGCACAAGCGGUGGAGCAUGUGGUUUAAUUCGAAGCAACGCGAAGAACCUUACCAAAUCUUGACAUCCUUUGACAACUCUAGAGAUAGAGCCUUCCCCUUCGGGGGACAAAGUGACAGGUGGUGCAUGGUUGUCGUCAGCUCGUGUCGUGAGAUGUUGGGUUAAGUCCCGCAACGAGCGCAACCCUUAAGCUUAGUUGCCAUCAUUAAGUUGGGCACUCUAAGUUGACUGCCGGUGACAAACCGGAGGAAGGUGGGGAUGACGUCAAAUCAUCAUGCCCCUUAUGAUUUGGGCUACACACGUGCUACAAUGGACAAUACAAAGGGCAGCGAAACCGCGAGGUCAAGCAAAUCCCAUAAAGUUGUUCUCAGUUCGGAUUGUAGUCUGCAACUCGACUACAUGAAGCUGGAAUCGCUAGUAAGCGUAGAUCAGCAUGCUACGGUGAAUACGUUCCCGGGUCU